rnacentral:rRNA from 1 species
UUGGAGGGCAAGUCUGGUGCCAGCAGCCGCGGUAAUUCCAGCUCCAAUAGCGUAUAUUAAAGUUGUUGCAGUUAAAAAGCUCGUAGUUGAACCUUGGGCCUGGCUGGCCGGUCCGCCUCACCGCGUGUACUGGUCCGGCCGGGCCUUUCCCUCUGUGGAACCCCAUGCCCUUCACUGGGUGUGGCGGGGAAACAGGACUUUUACUGUGAAAAAAUUAGAGUGCUCCAGGCAGGCCUAUGCUCGAAUACAUUAGCAUGGAAUAAUAGAAUAGGACG